rnacentral:rRNA from 1 species
AUACGGAGGGAGCGAGCGUUAAUCGGAAUUACUGGGCGUAAAGCGCGCGUAGGCGGCUUUGUAAGUCGGAUGUGAAAGCCCUGGGCUCAACCUGGGAAUGGCAUUCGAUACUGCAGAGCUAGAGUAUGGUAGAGGGAAGUGGAAUUUCCGGUGUAGCGGUGAAAUGCGUAGAUAUCGGAAGGAACACCAGUGGCGAAGGCGACUUCCUGGGCCAAUACUGACGCUGAGGUGCGAAAGCGUGGGGAGCAAACAGGAUUAGAAACCCGAGUAGUCC